UGGAGUGUGGUGUAAGGGAAGCAUGACCGGUUUUGGUUCGGUCGGUUCAGGUUCGAAUCCUGGCACUCCAG
rnacentral:tRNA from 1 species